GCGGGAGCGCGGGGUGUCAGCCCCUGGCCCGCGGGGGGGGGGGGGGGGAAGCCCCGCCCUGGUGUAUUUGGUGUCCUUUCCUGCUUGGCCUGCUGCUGGUUUUCGGUUUAAGUCUUUUCUCAGCCCCUCUCUCUGCUGGGCGUGUUUCCCCGGCUGCAGGCCCUCCCUGCCUGCUAGCCCCAGGGCCCAGCGUUCAGGGCGGGCUCUUCAGGGACCCCACCUUCCUACCCGACCCCACGUCCCCUCCCUCCAUUGUCCGUGGUGAUUUUAGCUGCUGCUUUUGUUCAGAGUUGCACACGCAACUGUUGAGUCUGUUGAUUCUUUAAUUUGAUAAAAAUACAAAAAGAACUCCCCAACCCCCACCCAUGGCCGCCUGAACCCUGCACUGCGCGCCGCGUGGCACAGAGGUGGACGUGCAGGACUCACCAAGGUCUGACGCUCAGCUGAGCAGAGAGAAGGACAAGCGCCGUGUGCAACUGCGGGGCACACAGGCCCAGAAGGCCUUGUCGCCUGUCUGGGGCUCGUCUCAGCUGGGGGCCUUCCUUCCGAGCCGCUCCUGGACUCCUGGGGCAUCUGCAUCCCGCCGUCAUCGUGGCGGCAGCCAUGCUUUCCAUCGAUGUCCGGGUCUGCUGUGUGCACGAUGCCUGGGGCGGCAGCCCACCAGGAGGAGCCCCGACCUGGGAGGUGCAGCCUCCGAACAGAAAAGGCCGUCUUUACAGGUCUGCAUUCUGGGGAAUUGAACUGUGUUUCCAGAAAGACGUGUUGACGGCCCCGGACUUGUGAAUCCUUGCAGAUGUGAUCAAGGCGAUUCCCGGACACCAGCGGCUCUCUGAGAAUCCAGCUCAGCAUGGACAUGGACUCAGACCCGACCCUGAAGGGCUCAGUCCCGUGGGACACCUCUCCCUGUCAGACACCCAGUUGCAAGUCUGUUGUCAUCUGUUCAGUUCAGUCGCUCAGUCGUGUCCGACUCUUUGCGACCCCGUGGACUGCAGCACACCAGGCCUCCCUGUCCAUCACCAGCUCCCUGAGUUCACUCAAACUCAUGUCCAUG